AGCAGCAGCUGUAUCACCCUGCAGCUCACAACUGGCAGCCCACAGGAGCUCAGCAGGUGUGAGCCUAGUCAGUACCUGAAUGGGAAACCUCCUGGGAAAAACUAAGGUUGCUGCUGGAA
rfam:Lepisosteus oculatus linkage group LG9, whole genome shotgun sequence.